rnacentral:rRNA from 1 species
UGGGGAAUAUUGGGCAAUGGGCGCAAGCCUGACCCAGCAACGCCGCGUGAGGGAAGAAGGUUUUCGGAUUGUAAACCUCUGUCCUGGGGGACGAAAAAAAUGACGGUACCCCGGGAGGAAGCCCCGGCUAACUACGUGCCAGCAGCCGCGGUAAUACGUAGGGGGCGAGCGUUGUCCGGAAUUACUGGGCGUAAAGGGUGCGUAGGCGGCAUGUUAAGUUGGAUGUGAAAUACCCGGGCUCAACCUGGGGGGUGCAUCCAAAACUGGCAAGCUAGAGUGCAGGAGAGGAAAGCGGAAUUCCUAGUGUAGCGGUGAAAUGCGUAGAUAUUAGGAGGAACACCAGUGGCGAAGGCGGCUUUCUGGACUGCAACUGACGCUGAUGCACGAAAGCGUGGGGAGCAAACAGG